GCUUCCAUAGCUCAGGUGGUAGAGCGCAGUCUUGGUAAGACUGAGGUCAUGGGUUCGAGUCCCAUUGGAAGCU
rnacentral:tRNA from 1 species